rnacentral:rRNA from 1 species
AUUGAACGCUGGCGGUAUGCUUAAGACAUGCAAGUCGAACGGAGUACUUCGGUACUCAGUGGCGGACGGGUGAGUAACACGUGGGAAUCUACCCAAUAGAGGGGGACAGCCCGGCGAAAGCCGGAUUAAUACCGCAUACGCCCUACGGGGGAAAGGCGCAAGCCGCUAUUGGAUGAGCCCGCGUAAGAUUAGCUAGUUGGUAAGGUAAAGGCUUACCAAGGCGACGAUCUUUAGCUGGUCUGAGAGGAUGGCCAGCCACAUCGGGACUGAGACACGGCCCGGACUCCUACGGGAGGCAG